rnacentral:rRNA from 1 species
UAGAAUUCCAGGUGUAGCGGUGAAAUGCGUAGAGAUCUGGAGGAAUACCGGUGGCGAAGGCGGCCCCCUGGACGAAGACUGACGCUCAGGUGCGAAAGCGUGGGGAGCAAACAGGAUUAGAUACCCUGGUAGUCCACGCCGUAAACGAUGUCGACUUGGAGGUUGUGCCCUUGAGGCGUGGCUUCCGGAGCUAACGCGUUAAGUCGACCGCCUGGGGAGUACGGCCGCAAGGUUAAAACUCAAAUGAAUUGACGGGGGCCCGCACAAGCGGUGGAGCAUGUGGUUUAAUUCGAUGCAACGCGAAGAACCUUACCUGGUCUUGACAUCCACGGAAGUUUUCAGAGAUGAGAAUG